GCGCCAGACUCCUACGGGAGGCAGCAGUGGGGGAUAUUGCACAAUGGGGGAAACCCUGAUGCAGCGACGCCGCGUGGGUGAAGUAUUUCGGUAUGUAAAGCCCUAUCAGCAGGGAAGAAAGAAGACGGUACCUGACUAAGAAGCCCCGGCUAACUACGUGCCAGCAGCCGCGGUAAUACGUAGGGGGCGAGCGUUAUCCGGAUUCACUGGGUGUAAAGGGAGCGUAGACGGCCGUGCAAGCCAGGAGUGAAAGCCCGGGGCCCAACCCCGGGACUGCUCUUGGAACUGUGCGGCUGGAGUGCGGGAGGGGCAGGCGGAAUUCCUGGUGUAGCGGUGAAAUGCGUAGAUAUUAGGAGGAACACCAGUGGCGAAGGCGGCUUACUGGACUGUAACUGACGUUGAGGCUCGAAAGCGUGGGGAGCAAACAGGAUUAGAUACCCUAGUAGG
rnacentral:rRNA from 1 species